UCUUAAUGAAUUGGGCUUUGCAUUGAAUGCUUUGCAUUUAGAACGCAUCUCUUGUAUAAGGGGAAAACAGGACUUGACAGGAAAGGGUGGCCAGAGCCGACUGUCCUGAAACUCACUCUCCAGGUUGAGCUAUUUUCCCUCUUGCCCCAUUCUGUUAUUGCUAUAUCACAUAAUUGUAGCCGUUCCAAAACAAAGCCAGAUGUAAAGCUUCCUAGAUAACAGGAUUAAGUGCCGAAAAUAGACCAACAAAAGCCCAUCAACAAGCAAGUUAAAUACUAGUUAAUAGAUCAAAUCACUACAAAGAUCAAACGAAUGAAUUGAGGAUUCCUGCAUCAUAUUUCGUCAUUCUUCCAAGAAAAUUGACUUUCUGGUUUUUGGAAAAUUCAAAUAUGAAUGAGACAUUUGUUUUGACAGAAGGACGAAGGUCAAGUGAAGACCCCGAUUGUUAAAGGCAGUUGGGUUUCCUGAGCUUCGGAAGAUGCAACAGCUUAAAGAAGGCAAGAGGAGUUGAAUCCAUGAGGAACAGAAGAAAACACGCCCACUAUCUCUCUGCACCUUGUGUCCUCUUUGCCUCAGUUGAGGAAUGCACUCUACCAGCUCUUCUCAUAACACAAGCAAGCUCUUGUCUGAUAUGAAAAUCAGUUGAAUUUCACCUUCAUAGUUUUUGAACUAUGGUGGUUUUUAUUCCUGCUUCCUACUUGCUCAUGCAUAUAUUCCCUAUUUGAUAAUUUAAAAUAAGUUAAUCUUUUAAGAAUGUGAAAUUGGUGCCUAUUGACUACAACAACUUGCAUUUAUACAACACUUUGAAUGAUAAAACAUCCCAAGGCACUUCAAAGGAGUAUUGUAAAGCAAAAUUUGACACCAAGUCAUGUAAGGAGAUGUUAUAGCAGAUGAUGAAAAGCUCGAUCAAAGAGGUUAAGGAUUGUCUUAAAGGAGGAAGGAGAGGUAGAUUGGUGAAGAGGUUUAUGGAUGGAAUCUUAGUCAGACUCAGAGCCUUGACAGCUAGAGGCCCAGCCACCAAAUGAAAUGGUUAAAAUUGGGGUUCUCAAGAGGCCAGAAUCAGAGGAGCGUAACUAUCUCAGAGAGUCGUAGGGCUGGAGGAGAUUACAGAGGAAGGGAUGGGCGGGGAUCUGUUGGCACCCAAAAACAAGGAUUAGAAUUUUUAAAAUUUUGAGAGAAUGGAGGGGUCGAAGAAAUUGAUGGUGAGGUAAAACUAGUUGUUGUCAACGUACGUGUGGAAACUGAUGCUCAUGGAUAAUGUUGCCAAGGGCAGCCUGUCAAUAAAAAAUAGGAGGGAGCCAAAGAUGGAACCUUGGGGACACCAAAGGUAACAGUGUGGCAGCAGGAAGAGAAGCAGGUUAUUCUCUGACUACGAUUAGAUAUAUAAAAAUGGAACAAAGCAGAUGAAAUCCCAACCAGCUUGAGUACAGUGAAGAGGUGCUGGAUGAGGAUGGGAAGGUCACCCAUAUCAAAGGCUGCAGAUGGGUUGAGAAGGACGAGGAGGGAUAGUUUACCUUUGUCAAUUUCACAAAGGAUGUCACUUGUGUCUUUGCUAUUAGGUUUAAGUAUCACACAGAGAUUUAUUUGCAGAUAAGUAGCUAAAAAAACCCAAUUUGCGACUAACCAAAUGCACACCAGGCCAACAGUGUCUCUAUACAUCAGCAGAUUUCCUGUGGUUUUCUCAUGAUGAGUCAAAGGUUAAACUGUUUACAAGAUGGAGCAUUGAGAUAUGUAAGCGGGAAAGGAAUACUUUAAGUGAAAGAAUUUAGAGAAAUAUUUGUAAUAAUUCUAAUUUAAGGCAAUGAAACAAUUGUUUUUUGAUUGGUUCUUGAAAAAUGAAUAGCGUAUUUUCCUUUCCCAGGGCAGCUAUGAUUACAGUAUUUACCUUUUCUUUGUUUAUAUUGAAAGUUUGUGAAUAUUGUUUAUGUCAGGAUUUAUAUGUACAGUUGUGGUAAAUAAAUCUUUACAAUGAACAAGUGUUGUUUUCAAAUGAUCUGUACAAAUAAAACAAAACACAGCUGUUGUAAUUAC